GACGAACGCUGGCGGCGUGCUUAACACAUGCAAGUCGAACGGAAAGGCCUGCUUUCCCUUGUGGUUUGCGGGUACUCGAGUGGCGAACGGGUGAGUAACACGUGAGUCAUCUGCCCCCAACUUGGGUAUAAGCCUGGGAAACUGGGUCUAAUUACCGAUAGGACCGCAGGGUGGUGCCUGUGGUGGCAAACUAUUUUCUAGUGGUUGGGGAUGGGCUCGCGGCCUAUCAGCUUGUUGGUGGGGUAAUGGCCUACCAAGGCGGCGUCGGGGAGCCGGCCGGGGGGGGGGCACGGCCGCAUUGGGACUGCGGUACAGCCCAGACCGCGACGCGGGGGAGGAGAGGGGAAUACUGCGCGAGGAGCGGAAGCCGGAUGAAGCGACGCCGCGUGGGGGAUGACGGGGUUCGUGUAGUUAUCUCCUUUGGAACGCGAAGAAGCCACAUUGGUGGAGCGGUGGUGACGGUAGCGUUAGAAGAAGCACCGGCUAACUUCGUG
rnacentral:rRNA from 1 species